rnacentral:misc_RNA from 1 species
UACGGAGGGUGCAAGCGUUAAUCGGAAUUACUGGGCGUAAAGCGCGCGUAGGUGGCUUGAUAAGCCGGUUGUGAAAGCCCCGGGCUCAACCUGGGAACGGCAUCCGGAACUGUCAAGCUAGAGUACAGGAGAGGAAGGUAGAAUUCCCGGUGUAGCGGUGAAAUGCGUAGAGAUCGGAAGGAACACCGAUGGCGAAGGCAGCCUUCUGGGCCUCACCUGACACUGAGGUGCGAAAGCGUGGGUAGCAAACAGG